UACGGAGGGUGCAAGCGUUGUCCGGAAUCACUGGGCGUAAAGGGCUCGUAGGCGGCCAACUAAGUCAGACGUGAAAUCCCUCAGCUUAACUGGGGAACUGCGUCUGAUACUGGAUGGCUUGGAUUCGGGAGAGGAAUGCGGAAUUCCAGGUGUAGCGGUGAAAUGCGUAGAUAUCUGGAGGAACACCGGUGGCGAAGGCGGGUCUCUGGGCCGAUACUGACGCUGAGGCGCGAAAGCCAGGGGAGCGAACGGG
rnacentral:rRNA from 1 species